CUUCACCCAAAGUAGGAUGUGUCUUGUCUCUGAACACUGACCAUCACUCGGGUGAAUUACCUAGUGAUGGGACCUGAGGGCUGCUGGGAAACCUAGAGGUUGUUUCAGCCAACAGGCUCAAGAAAAAAAAAAAGCCAGUUGAAAAUGGUAUGCACAGAGAAAGUCUCAACAAAGACUAAACAGACAAUUUUGAAUUGUUUUUCCUGUGAGGUAUGUGAGAUCUUAGCUUACUCAACCAGUGAUCAAACCUACAACCCCUGCAUUGGAAGGUGAAGUUUUACCCACUGGACCAUCAGAGAAGUCCCAGACCCAGAUAUUUAAUGUGACUCCUCCUUGGAGGUUUCCAGAGGAACAGUGGAAGGAUAGAGGAAGGACAAAAUAAUUUCUUCUUCUUCCUGUUUCCUGUUCUUUUCAUCAUUCCUCUGGCAACACUACUUCUUAAUCCAUG
ensembl:lncRNA